rnacentral:rRNA from 1 species
AUGAGUUUAUCUGCUGCCAUCGGGUUCAUCAGUGGCUUCAAUGAGUGUGUCACUCUCUGGCAGUGGGCCAAAUCUUCCAUUUCAUCUCUGCACUUCCGAUGGAGUGGAGGUCUCCAGGAUCGUGUAUUGCAGUUGGAGAGUGGCCUGCAACGUCUCAGAGAUACUCUUCCUGCAAUGUACGACCUCAUUAAUAAAGCAGAGUGGAGGAGCCAUGAACAUAGUGUGGCCAAUCUCCUUCCAAAUCUCAGGGAUGCAGAGUAUGAGGCUGAGGACCUUCUUGAUGAGUUCAAAUGGUACGAGAAGAAGGUACAAGUGGAAGGCAAUGCAAGCCAAUCUCCUUUCAUUGAAUUCUUUGAUGCCGUCAUCCAAGGCAACUCGACAAACUGA